UGAAUUUGGGUUUUUAACUUAGGUUUGGGUGGCGGACGGGUGAGUAGCGCGUAAAGAACUUGCCUCACAGCUAGGGACAACAUUUGGAAACGAAUGCUAAUACCUAAUAUUAUGAUAAUAGGGCAUCCUAUAAUUAUGAAAGCUAUAAGCGCUGUGAGAGAGCUUUGCGUCCCAUUAGCUAGUUGGAGAGGUAACAGCUCACCAAGGCGAUGAUGGGUAGCCGGCCUGAGAGGGUGAUCGGCCACAAGGGGACUGAGACACGGCCCUUACUCCUACGGGAGGCAGCAGUGGGGAAUAUUGGACAAUGGACCAAGAGUCUGAUCCAGCAAUUCUGUGUGCACGAUGAAGUUUUUCGGAAUGUAAAGUGCUUUCAGUUGGGAAGAAAAAAAUGACGGUACCAACAGAAGAAGUGACGGCUAAAUACGUGCCAGCAGCCGCGGUAAUACGUAUGUCACGAGCGUUAUCCGGAUUUAUUGGGCGUAAAGCGCGUCUAGGUGGUUAUGUAAGUCUGAUGUGAAAAUGCAGGGCUCAACUCUGUAUUGCGUUGGAAACUGUAUAACUAGAGUACUGGAGAGGUAAGCGGAACUACAAGUGUAGAGGUGAAAUUCGUAGAUAUUUGUAGGAAUGCCGAUGGGGAAGC
rnacentral:rRNA from 1 species